UACGAACUGUGCAAACGUUUAUUCGGAAAGUCACUGGGCUUAAAGGGUGCGUAGGCGGCUGUCUAAGUAGGGUGUGAAAGCCCCCGGCUCAACCGGGGAAUUGCGCCCUAAACUGGACGGCUGGAGUGAGGCAGGGGUGUGUGGAACUUCCGGUGGAGCGGUGAAAUGUGUUGAUAAUCGGAAGGAACGCCGGUGGCGAAAGCGACACACUGGGUCUCAACUGAACGCUGGAGGCAACGAAAGCCCAGGGGAGGCAAAACGGGA
rnacentral:rRNA from 1 species